rnacentral:lncRNA from 1 species
GCUACUGUUAUAUAGGGGUUAGGGUCGUGGUCGACCCCCUGGACGCGCCCCUAAUGGGCCCAUCAACUAUACACGGCCCAAAGGCCAAAAUAAGGCGACGCAGCGCCGGGACAGAUUCUGGACGCCAUCUUGUUUCGACGAUUCCCGUUGACUCAGGAUGAAUUUAGGCAUGGAACCAGUGCCAUUGGAAAAUAGAUCUUCUAAACUUUCCAACCAUAUAUAGAACAUCCAAAACGGAGUCCGUAUGCGGUCUGGGCAUCCAAAUCACUGUGG